AUUGAACGCUGGCGGCAGGCCUAACACAUGCAAGUCGAGCGAGCGGCGGACGGGUGAGUAAUGUAUGGGUAUCUGCCCGAUAGCGGGGGAUCACUACUGGAAACGGUGGCUAAUACCUCCUUCCAUCGGAUGAGCCCAUAUGGGAUUAGCUAGGCGGUGGGGUAACGGCUCACCUAGGCGACGAUCCCUAGCUGGUCUGAGAGGAUGACCAGCCACAGUGGGACGAGGACACGGCCCAGAAUUCUACGGGAGGCAGCAGUGGGAAGUAUUGCACAAGGGGCGCAAGCCUGAUGCAGCCAUGCCGCGGGUAUGAAGAAGGCCUUCGGGUUGUAAAGUACUUCAAGCGGGGAGGCGUUACCCGCAGAAGAAGCACCGGCUAACUCCGUGCCAGCAGCCGCGGUAAUAC
rnacentral:rRNA from 1 species